UUGAUCAAGAUAUCAUUUCACUCUCUUCACCAUCACAUCAACUCAUUUAUUACCCAUCAUUUCUUCCCUUUUUAAACAAAAAAAUACAUACAGAAUCCAUCUCUUUCUUUCUUCUUCAUACCCCAUUCCUUUCUCUUCAAAACCCUAACUCCAUUGCUUUCACCCCAUUCCUUCCAACCUUUGAAAUAUGAAGAUCGAAGCCACCAUCAAUGCUCUGCCACCAUCAAAGCUCUCAAAGAUCGAAGAUUAAAGCCACCAUCCCUUCCAACCUUGAAAUCUGAAGAUCGAAGCCACCAUUGAAGAUCGAAGCCACCAUCAAAGCUCUCAAAGAAAAGGAAGCUCGGUGUCAUUUUAAUCACAUCUUUGUUUCUGUUUUUUAGAGAGAGAAAGCUAAUAUUUUGGAAGGAGAGAUAACAAUUUUCAUGUUGUUCACCUAGACACCAAGAACACACGCACAAGUGUGUGAGAGAGAAACAGGUGGAAAGAUGUUUUGUGUUCAAGAUGAAGAUGGUUAUCAAGAAGCGAAACCCGCGGAAGGAUUACAACGCAUCAUCAGGUUUUCGUGGUGACGAUGGUGUUGUUGUGAAGGCAAUUUUUAGAAGACCAUUUUAGAAGCAUUACAACUAUUGAUAUAAAAUUUAUUUUUAUUUUCAUUGUUAGUAUGCCAAUAUUUGGAUGAAUACGGAUGUUGUUGUGAAGGCAA